UGAGAGAAAAAGUCGAGCCAAAUAUUAAAUGCAUAACUUCUAUCAUAAGAAAGUUAUAUAUCACAAGACUUGUAAUGCCCGGUGUGCAACUGGUGCACCAGAUUUUGCAUGCUCUAAACUUAAAAUUCCCGCGAGUCAUUUUCUUUGUAUGUUGGGAAAGUAGCACGCCGAGAGGUGCUCCAGGGACCUCUCCUGCAACCCGCCGAAGAAGUCGCCGUCGUACGGGAGGGGCUGCUCGCCGCCGCCGCCGCCAAAGAGCCCCUGGUCCCCAUCCAUCGUCGCGGCCGCGGGCGUCCAGGCGCCGUCCACCCGCGCGGCGGCUAUCGGGAGGGGCGCGAGCUGCGUCCACGGCGCGUCGAAGCGUAUGAGCUCACCGGGGUGCCGCGGCUUCGUGUACGCGGCGCCGAAGUGCGCGUCGCCGUUGGAGCUAGUGACGGACGAGGAGGCGGGCGACGAGAGCCCCGGCGCUGACGGCGCGGCGAAGGCGGCUCCGCUGCUACUGCCGGUCGCCGCUGCCAUGGCCUUCUUCUUGAGCUUGGUGUUCCAGUAGUUCUGACGUCGUUGUCGGUCCGGCCGGGGAGCUUGGGCGCGAUGAUCGACCACCUGCCAUGCGGGAAUCGGUCGACCACCUAGCUGGCACUGGCAGACAGUCAGUCACCUGUGCCGAUGGAGCUGUAGAGGGACCAGAUGACCCUGUCCUCGUCGUCGGUGUAGCCCCCGUGACCGAUGCCGGGUCGCAGGUAGUUGAGCCACCGCAGCCGGCAGCUCUUGGCGCACCGGUUCAGCCCUAUGGACAAAGCAAGCACGCAACAUAAAUGCUGGACUGGUUGGGUUGGCAACACCAUAGGCGACAGUUUUGAGCAUCUGAUGACGAUGAAAGGUCAGGCUGGAGCUGUUAUGUUAUGGUGCGUUUGGUUUGUAUAGUCACUCUAUACCGGGUUGCAUGCUGCUGGGCUACGGAUUUUAUAGCGAGCGCGGCGCCGAUGAAAUGG